AUGAGUUCUCCCUGAGACUUAAAGUCUCCUGAAGGAACGUUGAAGACGACGACGUUGAUAGGCCGGGUGUGUAAGCGCAGCGAUGCGUUGAGCUAACCGGUACUAAUGAACCGUGAGGCUUAACCUUAC
rnacentral:rRNA from 1 species